rnacentral:rRNA from 1 species
AUUGAACGCUGGCGGCAGGCCCAACACAUGCAAGUCGAGCGGCAGCGGAAAGUAGCUUGCUACUUUGCCGGCGAGCGGCGGACGGGUGAGUAAUGUCUGGGAAACUGCCUGACGGAGGGGGAUAACUACUGGAAACGGUAGCUAAUACCGCAUAAUGUCGCAAGACCAAAGAGGGGGACCUUCGGGCCUCUUGCCAUCAGAUGUGCCCAGAUGGGAUUAGCUAGUAGGUGGGGUAACGGCUCACCUAGGCGACGAUCCCUAGCUGGUCUGAGAGGGUGACCAGCCACACUGGAACUGAGACACGGUCCAGACUCCGACGGGAGGCAGCAGUGGGGAAUAUUGCACAAUGGGCGCAAGCCUGAUGCAGCCAUGCCGCGUGUAUGAAGAAGGCCUUCGGGUUGUAAAGUACUUUCAGCGGGGAGGAAGGUGUUGUGGUUAAUAACCACAGCAAUUGACGUUACCCGCAGAAGAAGCACCGGCUAACUCCGUGCCAGCAGCCGCCGUAA